UUCUAUUGGUUAAAAAGGACUGUUUUCUAUAAACCGGAAGCACGUGUAUUUGUUUACGCUCUGUUAUAUUUUGACAUAACAAGUAAUAACAACAUGUUCCAUCAUUUCAUCCACCCUAAUUACCAAUAUGAUUUAGUUCUGUCCAUCAUUAAAUUGAAUUUGUUUUUGUAAAAUUGUGUUUCAUUGUCAGUAUGCUUCCAUUUUAUAUGAUGCUUUUCCUACCACUUUUAAUACCACCAGUCAAAUCUAAAUCUGUACAAAUUACCAGAACUUUAAAACAAGAAGGAUUCCACAGAGACCUAGAAACAGUGCUAAGUUUUGAGUUGGAGAAGGAGAUAGUGGAUAAAUUAACAUGGUCUUCAUGUCAGUUACUGUUAGUUGAAAAUUUACCAAGUGGAGUUUAUGUUGAUCUUGACCAAAUAUCAUCUCUGCCAGAUAGCAUGCAGGUUUUGGUUGAAGGCGAUGUCGAUAUUGAAGCUCCAGAAUAUGUCUCCACUCCAUUAUCAGUUUAUAUUUU